GACGAACGCUGGCGGCGUGCCUAAUACAUGCAAGUUGAGCGCUUAAGGUUGGUCCUUGUACCAACUGGAUGAGCAACGAACGGGUUAGUAACGCGUGGGGCAUCUGCCUUUUAGCGGUAGACAUCAUUUGGAAACUAAUACUACUACCGCCUAACAACUUUACACACAAGUUUUAAGUUUUAAAUAUUCACUUGCAUCACUCAAAGUUGCUCCCGCGUUGUAUUAGCUAGUUGGUGAGGUAAAGGCUCACCAAGGCGAUGUUACAUAGCCGACCUGAGAGGAUGAUCAGACACAUUGAGACGGAGAAACGGCACAGACGCAUACAGGAGGCAGCAAUAGGGAAAAGUCGGCAAUGGACGAAAGACAGACCAAGCAACGCCGCAUGAGGGAAGAGGGUUAUCGGUUGGUAAAACACGGUUGGUAGAGAAGAACGCUGGUGAAAGAGGAAAGCGCAGAAAGUGACGGUAAAUACACAGAAAGGGACGGCUAACUACGUG
rnacentral:rRNA from 1 species